rnacentral:rRNA from 1 species
UGCUUAACACAUGCAAGUCGAGCGGAAAGGCCCUUUCGGGGGUACUCGAGCGGCGAACGGGUGAGUAACACGUGAGUAAUCUGCCCUGCGCUCUGGGAUAGCCACCGGAAACGGUGAUUAAUACCGGAUAGGACCACUUCACGCAUGUGAUGGUGGUGGAAAGUUUUUUCGGCGCAGGAUGUGCUCGCGGCCUAUCAGCUUGUUGGUGAGGUAACGGCUCACCAAGGCUUUGACGGGUAACCGGCCUGAGAGGGUGACCGGUCACACUGGGACUGAGACACGGCCCAGACUCCUACGGGAGGCAGCAGUGGGGAAUAUUGGACAAUGGGCGGAAGCCUGAUCCAGCAACGCCGCGUGGGGGAUGACGGCCUUCGGGUUGUAAACCUCUUUCAGUACCGACGAAGCGAAAGUGACGGUAGGUACAGAAGAAGGACCGGCCAACUACGUGCCAGCAGCCGCGGUAAUACGUAGGGUCCGAGCGUUGUCCGGAAUUAUUGGGCGUAAAGGGCUCGUAGGCGGUUUGUCGCGUCGGGAGUGAAAACACCGGGCUUAACUCGGUGCUUGCUUUCGAUACGGGCAGACUAGAGGUAUGCAGGGGAGAAUGGAAUUCCUGGUGUAGCGGUGAAUGCGCAGAUAUCAGGAGGAACACCGGUGGCGAAGGCGGUUCUCUGGGCA